rnacentral:rRNA from 1 species
UACGGAGGGUGCGAGCGUUAAUCGGAAUUACUGGGCGUAAAGCGCACGUAGGCGGACUCUUAAGUCGGUGGUGAAAUCCUGGAGCUCAACUCCAGAACUGCCUUCGAUACUGAGAGUCUCGAGUCCGAGAGAGGUGAGUGGAAUUCCUGGUGUAGCGGUGAAAUGCGCAGAUAUCAGGAGGAACACCAAUGGCAAAGGCAGCUCGCUGGGACGGUACUGACGCUGAGACGCGAAAGCGUGGGGAGCAAACAGG